GAUGAACGCUAGCGACAGGCUUAACACAUGCAAGUCGAGGGGCAGCGAGGGCGUAGCAAUACGCCUGUCGGCGACCGGCGCACUGGUGAGUAACACGUAUGCGACCUGCCCCCUACAGGGGUAUAACCCCGUAGAAAUGCGGACUAAUCCCCCAUAGUCCUGGGUGCUGCAUGGCAUUCAGGGGAAAGGCCAGCCGGUAGGGGAUGGGCAUGCGGCGCAUUAGCUAGUUGGCGGGGCAACGGCCCACCAAGGCGACGAUGCGUAGGGGUUCUGAGAGGAAGGUCCCCCACACUGGUACUGAGACACGGACCAGACUCCUACAGGAGGCAGCAGUGAGGAAUAUGGUCAAUGGGCNCAGGCCUGAACCAGCCAAGUCGCGUGAGGGAU
rnacentral:rRNA from 1 species